GUAAUCUUGGGGCUUAACCCUGAGCGUGCUUUCGAUACGGGUUGACUUGAGGAAGGUAGGGGAGAAUGGAAUUCCUGGUGGAGCGGUGGAAUGCGCAGAUAUCAGGAGGAACACCAGUGGCGAAGGCGGUUCUCUGGGCCUUUCCUGACGCUGAGGAGCGAAAGCGUGGGGAGCGAACAGGCUUAGAUACCCUGGUAGUCCACGCUGUAAACGGUGGGUACUAGGUGUGGGGUCCAUUCCACGGGUUCCGUGCCGUAGCUAACGCUUUAAGUACCCCGCCUGGGGAGUACGGCCGCAAGGCUAAAACUCAAAGGAAUUGACGGGGCCCCGCACAAGCGGCGGAGCAUGCGGAUUAAUUCGAUGCAACGCGUAGAACCUUACCUGGGUUUGACAUGGAUCGGGAGUGCUCAGAGAUGGGUGUGCCUCUUUUGGGGUCGGUUCACAGGUGGUGCAUGGCUGUCGUCAGCUCGUGUCGUGAGAUGUUGGGUUAAGUCCCGCAACGAGCGCAACCCUUGUUCACUGUUGCCAGCACGUUAUGGUGGGGACUCAGUGGAGACCGCCGGGGUCAACUCGGAGGAAGGUGGGGAUGACGUCAAGUCAUCAUGCCCCUUAUGUCCAGGGCUUCACGCAUGCUACAAUGGCUGGU
rnacentral:rRNA from 1 species